CCAAUAGCGUAUAUUAAAGUUGUUGCAGUUAAAAAGCUCGUAGUUGAAUUUCGGGAUCAGAUUGUCGGUCGUGCCUCGGUACGCACUGGCACUAUUGGUUCCUACCUUCUGAAGAACCGCGAUGUCAUUAAUUUGGUGUCGUGGGGAAUCAGGACUGUUACUUUGAAAAAAUUAGAGUGUUUAAAGCAGGCGCACGCUUG
rnacentral:rRNA from 1 species